rnacentral:rRNA from 1 species
UACGAAGGGUGCAAACGUUUAUUCGGAAUCACUGGGCGUAAAGGGUGCGUAGACGGCAUGUUAAGUUCGUUGUUAAAGGCUCCGGCCUAACCGGAGUACCGCGAUGAAAACUGGCGUACUAGAGGGUGAGAGAGAGAAGUGGAAUUCCUGGAGUAGCGGUAAAAUGCGUGGAUCUCAGGAGGAACACCAAUGGCGAAGGCAGCUUCUUGGCUCAUUCCUGACGUUUGAGGCACGAAAGCGUGGGGAGCAAACAGG